UGCUACCAUGCAGUCGACGAUGAACCCAGCUUGCUGGGUGGAUUAGUGGCGAACGGGUGAGUAACACGUGAGUAACCUGCCCCUGACUUUGGGAUAAACCCGGGAAACUGGGUCUAAUACCGGAUAUGACUAUGGAACGCAUGUUUUGUGGUUGAAAGAUUUAUCGGUGAGGGAUGGACUCGCGGCCUAUCACCUUGUUGGUGAGGUAAUGGCUCACCAAGGCGACCACGGGUAGCCGGCCUGAAAGGGUGACCGGCCACACUGGGACUGAAACACGGCCCAAACUCCUACGGGAGGCAGCAUUGGGGAAUAUUGCACAAUGGGCGGAAGCCUGAUGCAGCGACGCCCCGUGAGGGAUGACGGCCUUCGGGUUGUAAACCUCUUUCAAUAGGGAAUAAGCG
rnacentral:rRNA from 1 species